rnacentral:rRNA from 1 species
UAAAAUGAAUGACGGACCCGCACAAGCGUGGAUCAUGUUGUUUAAUUCGAUGAUACGCGAAGAACCUUACCAGGUCUUGACAUCCCCUGCAAAGCUAUGGAGACAUAGUGGAGGUUAUCAGGGAGACAGGUGGUGCAUGGUUUGUCGUCAGCUCGUGUCGUGAGAUGUUCGGUUAAGUCCGCUAACGAGCGCAACCCUCGCUGUGUGUUAUAUGUGUCACACAGGACUGCUGGUAUUAAGCCGGAGGAAGUGGGGACGACGUCAAGUCAGCAUGACCUUUAUAUCCAGGGCUACACACACGCUACAAUGGUCAGUACAAUGGGUUGCCAAGCCGCGAGGCGGAGCCAAUCCUAAAAAGCUGGCCUCAGUUCAGAUUACAGUCUGAAACUCGACUGCAUGAAGUCGGAGUUGCUAGUAAACGCAGGUCAGCUAUACUGCGUUGAAUACGUUCCCGGGGCUU